rnacentral:tRNA from 1 species
GCAUCGGUGGUUCAGUGGUAGAAUGCUCGCCUGCCACGCGGUCCGGGUUCGAUUCCCGGCCGAUGGA